AUCCCCCGCUAAAUUCGGGGCCGAAUGGCCUUGAGCGGAGUCACCCGCCCCCGUUGAAGUGAAAUGAAGGCUAUCCGAAUCGGUAAGCUCCUUGUUGGCCACGGAAAGAACCUUUUUUCUAGAGGUAACUGCUAGGAAGAGGUGACCGGUACCUGAGAAGGAAAGCCCCGGCCUAACUACCGUGCCAGCCAGCCGCGGUAAUACGUAAGGGGGCCAGCGUUGUCCGGAAUUAUUCGGGCGUAAAGCGCCGCGCAGGCGGUUCUUUAAGUCUGGUGUUUGAAACCCGAAGGCUCAACUUCGGGUCGCACUGGAAACUGGGGGACUUGAGUGCAGAAGAGGAGAGUGGAAUUUCACGUGUAGCGCGUGAAAUGCGUAGAUAUGUGGAAGGAACACCAGUGGCGAAGGCGACUCUCUGGGCUGUAACUGACGCUGAGGCGCGAAAGCGUGGGGAGCAAACAGGAUUAGAUACCCCUGGUAGUGCACGCCGUAAACGAUGAAUGCUAGGUGUUAGGGGUUUCGAUACCCUUGGUGCCGAAGUUAACACAUUAAGCAUUCCGCCUGGGGAGUACGGUCGCAAGACUGAAACUCAAAGGAAUUGACGGGGACCCGCACAAGCAGUGGAGUAUGUGGUUUAAUUUGAAGCAACGCGAAGAACCUUACCAAGUCUUGACAUCCCUCUGAAUCCUCUAGAGAUAGAGGCGGCCUUCGGGACAGAGGUGACAGGUGGUGCAUGGUUGUCGUCAGCUCGUGUCGUGAGAUGUUGGGUUAAGUCCCGCAACGAGCGCAACCCUUGAUUUUAGUUGCCAGCAGGUAAGGCUGGGCACUCUAGAAUGACUGCCGGUGACAAACCGGAGGAAGGCGGGGAUGACGUCAAAUCAUCAUGCCCCUUAUGACUUGGGCUACACACGUACUACAAUGGCUGGUACAACGGGAAGCGAAGCCGCGAGGUGGAGCCAAUCCUAUAAAAGCCAGUCUCAGUUCGGAUUGCAGGCUGCAACUCGCCUGCAUGAAGUCGGAAUUGCUAGUAAUCGCGGAUCAGCAUGCCGCGGUGAAUACGUUCCCGGGUCUUGUACACACCGCCCGUCACACCACGAGAGUUUACAACACCCGAAGUCGGUGGGGUAACCCGUAAGGGAGCCAGCCGCCGAAGGUGGGGUAGAUGAUUGGGGUGAAGUCGUAACAAUGAGACCUGG
rnacentral:rRNA from 1 species